UGGGGAAUCUUGCACAAUGGGGGAAACCCUGAUGCAGCGAUGCCGCGUGAGUGAAGAAGGCCCUUGGGUUGUAAAACUCUUUCGUCGGGGAAGAGAAUGACUGUACCCGAAUAAGAAGGUCCGGCUAACUUCGUGCCAGCAGCCGCGGUAAUACGAAGGGACCUAGCGUAGUUCGGAAUUACUGGGCUUAAAGAGCUCGUAGGUGGUUAAAAAGUUGAUGGUGAAAUCCCAAGGCUUAACCUUGGAACUGCCAUCAAAACUUUUUAGCUAGAGUGUGAUAGAGGUAAGUGGAAUUUCUAGUGUAGAGGUGAAAUUCGUAGAUAUUAGAAAGAACACCAAAUGCGAAGGCAACUUACUGGGUCACCACUGACACUGAGGAGCGAAGCAUGGGUAGCGAAGA
rnacentral:rRNA from 1 species